rnacentral:tRNA from 1 species
UAAAAAAUAAGCUAAUCCUAAGCUAAUGAACUCAUACUUCAUCUAUAGAAAUCAACUUUCUUUUUUUAA